UAUAUCGGUAGGUAAGGCUCCCUCUGGGAUACGGGCUGCUGCCGCGAAAAGUGGAGACACUGUAAGCAGGUCAACAGGUCACAUCGUUUAAGGUGUAAUCUAACGCAGUUUCAUUGCCCAUUGAAGCUAAAGCUUGUACGAAA
rnacentral:sRNA from 1 species